GAUGAACGCUGGCGGCGUGCCUAAUACAUGCAAGUCGAACGUUGGAGAUCUAGCUUGCUAGAUCGAAGGAGUGGCGAACGGGUGAGUAAUACAUAAGCAACCUACCCACGAAGACUGGGAUAAUCUCUGGAAACGGGGACUAAUACCGGAUAGGUAAUCGGAAGGCAUCUUCUGGUUAUUAAAGGUUAAAAACACUGGUGGAUGGGCUUAUGGCGCAUUAGUUAGUUGGUGAGGUAACGGCCCACCAAGACGAUGAUGCGUAGCCGGCCUGAGAGGGUGAACGGCCACAUUGGGACUGAGACACGGCCCAGACUCCUACGGGAGGCAGCAGUAGGGAAUUUUCGGCAAUGGGGGCAACCCUGACCGAGCAACGCCGCGUGAGUGAAGACGGCCUUCGGGUUGUAAAGCUCUGUUGUAAGGGAAGAACGGUAGAUAGAGAAUAUCUAAGUGACGGUACCUUACCAGAAAGCCACGGCUAACUACGUG
rnacentral:rRNA from 1 species